GCAUNCCCGGAGCUUUANCAUGCAAGUCGAACGGCGGCACGAGAGAGCCUGCUCUCUUGGUGGCGAGUGGCGGACGGGUGAGUAAUAUAUCGGAACGUGCCUAGUAGCGGGGGAUAACUACUCGAAAGAGUGGCUAAUACCGCAUACGCCCUACGGGGGAAAGGGGGGGAUCGCAAGACCUCUCACUAUUAGAGCGGCCGAUAUCGGAUUAGCUAGUUGGUGGGGUAAAGGCUCACCAAGGCAACGAUCCGUAGCUGGUUUGAGAGGACGACCAGCCACACUGGGACUGAGACACGGCCCAGACUCCUACGGGAGGCAGCAGUGGGGAAUUUUGGACAAUGGGGGAAACCCUGAUCCAGCCAUCCCGCGUGUAUGAUGAAGGCCUUCGGGUUGUAAAGUACUUUUGGCAGAGAAGAAAAGGUACCUCCUAAUACGAGGUACUGCUGACGGUAUCUGCAGAAUAAGCACCGGCUAACUACGUGCCAGCAGCCGCGGUAAUACGUAGGGUGCAAGCGUUAAUCGGAAUUACUGGGCGUAAAGCGUGUGUAGGCGGUUCGGAAAGAAAGAUGUGAAAUCCCAGGGCUUAACCUUGGAACUGCAUUUUUAACUGCCGAGCUAGAGUAUGUCAGAGGGGGGUAGAAUUCCACGUGUAGCAGUGAAAUGCGUAGAUAUGUGGAGGAAUACCGAUGGCGAAGGCAGCCCCCUGGGAUAAUACUGACGCUCAGACACGAAAGCGUGGGGAGCAAACAGGAUUAGAUACCUGGUAGUCCACGCCCUAAACGAUGUCAACUAGCUGUUGGGGCCGUUAGGCCUUAGUAGCGCAGCUAACGCGUGAAGUUGACCGCCUGGGGAGUACGGUCGCAAGAUUAAAACUCAAAGGAAUUGACGGGGACCCGCACAAGCGGUGGAUGAUGUGGAUUAAUUCGAUGCAACGCGAAAACCUUACCU
rnacentral:rRNA from 1 species